CCACAGCUUUACUAUUUGCUG
ensembl:piRNA 21ur-1471 ncRNA